GACGAACGCUGGCGGCGUGCUUAACACAUGCAAGUCGAGCGGAGCGGCGAACGGGUGAGUAACGCGUGAGUAACUGCCCCCCUCUCUGGGAUAACAGUUGGAAACGGCUGCUAAUACCGGAUAGUGGGGGAUGACUUGCGUCCUAUCAGCUUGUUGGUGGGGUAGGUGCCUACCAAGGAGACGACGGGUAGCCGGCCUGAGAGGGCGACCGGCAACAUAGGGCUGAGGUAGGGCCCAAAGUCGUACGGGAGGCAGAAGUGGGGAAUAUUGCACAAUGGGGGAAACCCUGAUGCAGCAACGACGGGUGCGGGAGGACGGGCUGCGGGUUGUAAACCGCUUUCAGCCAUGACGCGGUAGUGGAAGAAGAAGCACCGGCUAACUACGUGCCAGCAGCCGCGGUAAUAC
rnacentral:rRNA from 1 species